GUGCACCAGGCGAGAAUAGUCUACAAUGGACGAAAGUCUGAUAGUGCGACGCCGUGUGUGCGAUUAAUUCCUUCGGGAUGUAAAGCACUUUUCUAUGAGAUAAAAGCUCUUUAGGUUAAUAGCUUAUUGAGACGGAUAUUAUUAUAGGAAUAAGCUCCGGCUAACUCCGUGCCAGCAGCCGCGGUAAUACGGAAGGGAGCGAG
rnacentral:rRNA from 1 species